GCCGGUCCUCGGUAGUGGCUCUCGUGUCCGCCAGGACACGGGCGCUUCGAUCGAAGACCGGC
rfam:Streptomyces thermoautotrophicus strain H1 H1_chromosome, whole genome shotgun sequence.